CUCCUUUCUAUGGAGAAUAGAUGAACGUUG
rnacentral:misc_RNA from 1 species